rnacentral:rRNA from 1 species
GAUGAACGCUGGCGGCGUGCCUAAUACAUGCCAGUCGAGCGAACAGAUAAGGAGCUUGCUCCUUUGACGUUAGCGGCGGACGGGUGAGUAACACGUGGAUAACCUACCUAUAAGACUGGGUUAACUUCGGGAAACCGGAGCUAAUACCGGAUAACAUAUUGAACCGCAUGGUUCAAUAGUGAAAGGCGGCUUUGCUGUCACUUAUAGAUGGAUCCGCGCCGUAUUAGCUAGUUGGUAAGGUAACGGCUUACCAAGGCAACGAUACGUAGCCGACCUGAGAGGGUGAUCGGCCACACUGGAACUGAGACACGGUCCAGACUCCUACGGGAGGCAGCAGUAGGGAAUCUUCCGCAAUGGGCGAAAGCCUGACGGAGCAACGCCGCGUGAGUGAUGAAGGUCUUCGGAUCGUAAAACUCUGUUAUCAGGGAAGAACAAAUGUGUAAGUAACUGUGCACAUCUUGACGGUACCUGAUCAGAAAGCCACGGCUAACUACGUG